GGUUACAAAUCUGGCUGUCCAGAUGCCUAAAAAGCAUUUCAUAGCAAGGGCCGGGCAAGACCGGUGCCAGCCGCCGCGGUAACACCGGCGGCUCGAGUGGUAACCGUUAUUAUUGGGUCUAAAGGGUCUGUAGCCGGCCGGAUAAGUCUCUUGAGAAAUCUGGCAGCUUAACUGUCAGGCUUUCAGGAGAUACUGUCUGGCUCGAGGCCGGGAGAGGUGAGAGGUACUUCAGGGGUAGGGGUGAAAUCUUGUAAUCCCA
rnacentral:rRNA from 1 species